rfam:Lipomyces starkeyi NRRL Y-11557 unplaced genomic scaffold LIPSTscaffold_7, whole genome shotgun sequence.
GACUCCGUGGCCAAGCUGGUUAAGGCGUACGGCUGUUAACCGUAAGAUCGAGAGUUCGAUCCUCUCCGGGGUCG